AAAAAAAACACUUUAGAAAGUUCUGAUGACGAAACAGACAUUGAGAUGAAGCGACAAUAUGAAAAAGCAAAAAGACAAAAAAAAGUUGCAAAAGAGAGGAUCCUCACUCAGUUGAAGGAUACACUGAGGAAACCACUCCACUCCACUCCAUGCAGAACCAAUCCAUUACAUAGUGAGGAGGAAGUUGAAUCCGAAAUGGUGGACACAAAUGUGGAUUUGUUCAAUUACCCAGGGAAUUCUCAAUCAACCGUAUGUCGUUUCAAACCCUAAGCAAUGAACACAAACUUUUGGACUUUGUAGUCAACCUAAUGUAUUUUUAAAAGUAAUGUUUAGGCAGAUAAUACAAAUUAUAAGAUCUAUGGUAUUGUUUAAAUGUUAUUUGUUUAUAAACUAUAUACAGAUGUCCAGUUGUCCCUUUGCUGUUUUAUAUGUUGUAUUUUAUUGAGUUUUUAUUUCUUUUUGAAUUCGGUUCAGAGACAAAAAAAGGUUGGAAAGGAGAGGGUCCUCACUCAGCUGAAGGAUACACUGAGAAAACCACUCCACUCUGAUCCACGCAGAACCAACCCGUUACAUAGUGAGGAGGAAGUUCAAGCCGAAACCGUGGACACAAAUGUGGAUUUGUUCGAUUACCCAGAGAAUUUUCAACCAACCGAUACCUUAGAUGCUGCUGAGGCAAGUGGAGAGAGCGUGGAACAGCCAUUAUUUGUCAGUGGUGAAGUGUUGAAAGCUUUGAAAGAAAUUCCCACCUUAGUGCAGUGUGUCAAGGAACUAAUAUCCUCAAUGAACAGAGGGAUCGAUACAGCAAGCACAAGCUCAGGGUCCUCCAGCUCAGCCCAAGAGAUGACACUGUCAUAUCUGAGUUUCCGGGCACGUCACAGUCCGAGGUUAGAGCCGUAAUACGGCGAAAGUGCAAUAACGAAAGUUUUGUUUCACACUGUAAAGGUAAUUUUUUUGUUGUUGUUGGGGAAAGGAAUGUGAAAGUAAAGAAGAAAUUUGUGUUUUGUUCAUAUAAGAUACGUACAGUAAUCUGUAGUUUAAUCAUUUUAUUAAAGGGUUAGUUCACCCAAAAAUCGAAAAGUUCUUUGUAUUUAGUCACCCGCGUGUUGUUCUAAACCCUUAAGACUUCCAUUAACCAUCGCAUCACAAAAUAUUAUAUUUAUGAUGUAAUCUGAGCGCUGGAUAAGUCUUCCAUUGACUUCCAAGGGGCUUAAACUUGCUCGAUCAGAAAUCGUAUUAAGACAUUGUUUGAAAUUGUCUAAGUGACUCCAGUGGCUCAACCAUCCAUUUAUCAAGCGACGAGAAUAGUUUUUCUGCGCCAAAAACAAACAAAAAUAACGAAUUUAUUCCAAUAUCCAUUUACUCGUGUUGUGCUUGAAAGUUGUUUACGUAGUGUAUCUGCGACGCCUGGUGACGUAGAACCCAGAAGCUCGCGCAGAUACACUACGUAAACCAACUUUCACGCACAACACGAGUAAAUGGAUAUUGGAAUAAAUUCGUUAUUUUUUUGUUUGUUUUUUUGCGCAGGAAAAAAGUAUUCUCGAUGGUUGAGCCACUGAAGUCACUUGGACUAUUUUAAACAAUGUCUAUAUGUUUUCUGAUCGAGCAAGUUUAAGCCCCUUGGAAGUCAAUGGAAGACUUAUCCAGCGCUCAGAUUACAUCAUAAAUAUAAUAUUUUGUUAUGCAAUUAUAAAUGAAAGCCAUACGGGGUUAGAACAACACGCAGGUGAGUAAAAACUGAGAUCAUUUUGAUUUUUGGGUGAACUCCUUUAAUGCUUUUAGUUUAAGCUUGCCACUUGUGUUAUUUUGUUUCCCAACAGUCUGUUUGGACUUUAAUAAUGUUUAAAAAAAAAUAAAGUGUUUUUUAAGAAAGAGAUGCUUUUUGUUUGUACACAUACCAUUCCUCCUGUAUCCUUUUAAGCUAUAGGUGUUUUCAUUUACAUGAAUUACAUUUACCGGUUAUUUUUAUCAGAUGCAUUACAUCUAACUUUAAAAUGAUUAUUGUAUUAAACGCCUUCAUCAAUGGUGGACAAUUUUAACAUUUACAUUUUAACAGUAUAACUUCAGCAUAAAUGAGGCAGAAAAUGCUACUGAUAACACAGUAAUAGUGUACUUGACUAAAAAAAAAAAACCAUUAACAUUUAAAUGUUUUAUAAAAGUACUUUUGACAUAGUUAAAAUACAUUUUUACAAUAAAUUAGUUUCCAUAAAUAUAAUAUGAUUGUAUAUUCUUAUAUUUUAAAGAAUUUAAAGGUGUAUUUAAACAUGUUUUAAAGAUGGGUUCUAUUGCUCUAAGGGGAAAAAAAAAUAAAGCUGAAAUAAUAUUUUAAAAUCAUGUUUUAAGUUCAUCUUAAGUUUGUAUAAAAAUAGCACAGUUGAUAUAUUCUUAUAUUUUAAAUAAUUUAUGUGUAUUUAAAAAUGUAUUAAAGAUUUAAUCUAAAGAUUAAAUUAAAGCUGAAAUAGUAUGUUAAAAGCAUAUUUAAGUUCAUCUUCAGUGUGUCUCAAAAUAGCACAGUUGAGUACACUAAGAUGAUCUUAAGUUUAUAUUAAGAAGUACUAAAGAACAUUUUUUAGUAUAUUAAAUACAAAAUAAGUGCGUGAAAAUAGAGCACUUUAAAUACAUUAUGGAAGUGUAUUAAGUGCACUUAAAUAAAAUGUAUUUUAGUGUACUUUUUUAAUCUAGGAAUACAUUAUAAGUAUAAUUUGUAUAUAAUUACAUAUUAUUAUUAUUAUUAUUAUCAUUUAAAUAGUUUAUUAUUGUAUUUAAAGAUGGUUUCAAUUAUACUAAAACUGGUAACGAAAUACAUUUGUUGAAAAUAUGAAAUAGUAUAUUAAAAAUACACUUUAGUUUAUCUUCAGUGUGUCUCAAAAAAAAACCAAAUUGAGUACACUAAGAUGAUUUUAAGUUUAUAUUAAGCAGUACUAAAGGUAAGCUUUUAGUAUAUUAAGUGCAAAAUAAGUGUGUCGAAAAUAGAGCACUUUAAGUACAUUAUGGAAGUGUAUUAUGGAAGUGUAAUAAAAUGUAUUUUAGUGUACUUUUUUUAAUCUAGGAAUACAUUCUAAGUAUAAUUUGUAUAUAAUUUAAUAUUAUUAUUAUUAUAAUUUAAAUAGUUUAUUAUUUUAUUUAAAGAUGAUUUCAAUUAUACUUAAAGUGGUAACAAAAUACAUUUUUUAAAAAUAUGAAAUAGUAUAUUAAAAAUACACUUAAAUUCAUCUUCAGUGUGUCUCAAAAAAGCACAAUUGAGUAUACUAAGAUGAUUUUAAGUUUAUAUUAAGCACUACUAAAGAUAAGCUUUUAGUAUAUUAAGUGCAAAAUAAGUGUGUCGAAAAUAGAGCACUUUAAGUACAUUAUGAAAGUGUAUUAUGGAAGUGUACUAAGUGCACUUAAAUAAAAUGUAUUUUAGUGCACUUUUUUUUCACCUGGGAGAACAGACUGUACUUAAUGCCAGCAUGAGCUGGAAAUUCUGGCGUGGGUAACAGCAAUUAUGGAGCAUAAUCAAAUAUCACUGCAAUGAUUCAUGAUUUAUGGUCUGUUUUCACAUUAAACAUGUUACGUGUACAAUGACACCAAUGCGCCUUAUUGCCAAAUACCUGCCUGGUAACAAUAAAAGGAGCUAGUGUUCCAUUUAUCCACCUCAAAGGUUGCAGUCUGCUGCAGGGACAAAAAUGUAAUUAAAAAAAAAAAAAAAGAAAAACAAUAAUAAUACUUUACACACAAUAAUGGGAAAAAACGCAUUAGGCUCUCAUGUCUGUUGCUGCCUUUUUUUUUUUUUUGUGACUGUGCUCUAGAGGAAAAAAACCCAGAGCUCCACUUCCUUCAUGUUAUUACCUAUCAAAAGAGUUUUUAUGAAGUUCUUUACAAAGCAUUUGACAUUGGCGAAACAUGUUUAAUAGCUUGCUAAGUCAAGGCUUGGCCCCAUAAGUCUCAUAUAAUCCUCUCAGAAUGUGGUGGAAUGUGAAACAUUCUUUGAUGCUGUUAUUCUUUUUAUUGCUAGUUUGUUUUCAAUAAAGACUUUGAUUGCCUAGAUCUGGAAGUCUUGCAAAAUCUAUUAAAAUCUCAAAUCGACAAGGAGGAUAACAUAUGCAUUGUUGAGAAAACAGAAUGUCAUGAAGAAGGAAAACUGCAUUUCAAAUAGAAAUAAAAGCAUGAUACUGUAGGAAUAUAUUUUCAGUGAUGCAACAAAGCACCUAGGUUGUAUUAAAGGAAUAUUUCAGGAUCAAUACAAGUUAAAUUUAAUUGACAGCAUUUGUGGCAUAAUGCUGAUUGCCACAAACAUGUAUUUAGUGGCAUGACAACAUUUAAGUUAAAAAUUCAAAAAAAAAAAAGGGCCAUAAAAACAACUUAUAGCUCCAUAUAAUUUUAUUUGAACAGGAAAAAAAAAGGUUUUAAUAAAAAUUGCAAUCCUCCAAAACAUUUGGCUCCUUUUAUUUCUAUUGUGAGUGCCUUAUAGCUUUUUUUCUACAAAUUAGUUUUUGUAUUGUGAUCAACAUAGUUAACUUGUACUGAACUCGGAAUAUUUCUUUAAGGAAAAAUCUUAUUGAAAUACACUAAAUUGUGAAUGAAUGAGUUCACAAGUAUUCUUCAAGAGAUUUUCCCUGAAUGAGCCAAAUAUGCAUGUACACACACAUCAUCAGACAUCUAAUCUAAUCACACUCAAAACAAAUAUUCAUAACACAAUUCUUCCAUCAACUUUAAUUGCUUAAGACUCGCUGCAUGGGUAACAAAGGCUUUGCGGCUGAUUAUAUACGUGUUGCGUGAAAUUUUCUAACAAUGCAAUAAUUCAACAUAGUGGCAAAGUAGGGGUUAGGGGUGUUAAGUUUCAUUUCACAACACUAUUGGGAAAGCAUUGAAAGUGGCAGCCUGUUCAUGUGCAAUAAGGCAUCACCCAUUAGCCCUGUUGGGUCUGAUUUAGCUUAAUUCACUAAUCCUCUAAUCAGGCUUCUCCCUGCAAGUUAAUGACACGUCCGAUGCCACAGUCAUGUCUGAAGGCUAGCAGAGAACUCGCUGUUCUACUAAGUGGCAUUUGACUCCCUGAGCUCGUGGAGGAGGACCCGAGAGAGGCACGCCAACAAACACAUCAACCAUUCACACCAAAAAGUGGUGCUCGCGAGAAGAACAGGACUAAUGGGGAAAUUAUUUAUGAACUAUUUGCAGUGCACCUGAAAAUACCUCCAGUGAAAUUAUGUAUGGCAACCUGAACUGCUUUGAAGUCAAUGGAGUGGCAAUGAAAAUUAGCCCUUCAUUAAAGAACUGCACCCUUCAAACGGAACUGGCCAGUGCUUAGAGGGCCGGGAACAGCCACGCAGAGGCAGCCCUCAGCAGCCGGGCACACAUGUUAGCAAUUUGCAUGAUUCUUGGCGGUUUUUAUGAUUUUCUCCGAAAAAAUUAUCUCCGCCGCACUCCUUUUAUGUCGCAUUUAGGAAAUUAACACUAACCGACAAAUUACUUCGUAAAUAAAGGAGUAUAACUUUAGAACGUUGAAACCAGGACUUGCCCCAGGCGGGUGCUGCUUGAAGAGCAACAAAGGGAUUCUUGGUAGCUGUUUAGAUAUGCCAGCCCAGAGCCAGGCUUUAUUUUAUCACAUGCACAUAAUUUUUCAAUUGAAUUUAAUGCAAGGCAUUUAUUUCCCCAAUGUGCAGCACUUGUGCUACAUGUCCACGCUAACUUAAAAACGGCUGGACUUAACGGCGGACUUAAAGAAG
ensembl:lncRNA